CGGGGGUAUAGUUCAGUGGUAGAGCAUUCGACUACAGAUCGAGAUGUCCCGGUUCGAACCCGGGUACCCCGG